rnacentral:rRNA from 1 species
UACAGAGGGUGCGAGCGUUGUCCGGAAUCACUGGGCGUAAAGGGCGCGUAGGUGGUGGCUUAAGCGUGCGGUGAAAGCUCGGGGCUCAACCCCGAGUCGGCCGUGCGAACUGGGCUCACUGGAGCAUAGUAGAGGCAGGUGGAAUUCCGGGUGUAGCGGUGGAAUGCGCAGAUAUCAGGAGGAACACCGGUGGCGAAGGCGGGUCUCUGGGCCGAUACUGACGCUGAGGAGCGAAAGCGUGGGGAGCGAACAGG